CCACAUCAGAAGAGGCAGUGGAGGAGCUAGUAGACAGCAUAUUCUGAUCCCAUCCAUGUUUCUUCUGUAG
ensembl:miRNA Mir7007 microRNA 7007